GGGUUUCUUCUUCCCAAAUCGGAACUGAGCUACCUGAUGGAAAAUGAGCAAGAUUAUUGUGUGGUGAAGAGAGACCUCUCGUAAAGUUCCUGUCCAGUUGGUUGAAUCCAUGGAUGCGGAACCUGUGGAUACCGAGGGCCGACUGUAAUGAAUACCCAAAUGACCCAGCAAGAGGGACAUUUCACUUGCCCCCUCACAGCCAUUGUAUAUGAGUGUCUUGUGAUGAUGAGGAUGAUGAUGAUGAUAAUGAUGAUGAUGAUGAUGAUAUGAUAAAAAUAGCUGUAAUGCAUUU